rnacentral:rRNA from 1 species
UUGUCCGGAAUUACUGGGUGUAAAGGGAGUGUAGGCGGGAUAUCAAGUCAGAAGUGAAAAUUACGGGCUCAACUCGUAACCUGCUUUUGAAACUGACAUUCUCGAGUGAAGUAGAGGCAAGCGGAAUUCCUAGUGUAGCGGUGAAAUGCGUAGAUAUUAGGAGGAACACCAGUGGCGAAGGCGGCUUGCUGGGCUUUUACUGACGCUGAGGCUCGAAAGCGUGGGGAGCAAACAGGAUUAGAUACCCUGGUAGUCCACGCCGUAAACGAUGAUUACUAGGUGUGGGGGGAUUGACCCCUUCCGUGCCGGAGUAAACACAAUAAGUAAUCCACCUGGGGAGUACGACCGCAAGGUUGAAACUCAA